rnacentral:misc_RNA from 1 species
GAUGAAGAACGUAGCGAAAUGCGAUACUUGGUGUGAAUUGCAGAAUCCCGUGAACCAUCGAGUCUUUGAACACAAGUUGCGCCCGAAGCCAUCAGGUUGAGGGCACGUCUGCCUGGGCGUCACAUAUCGUUGCCCAAUGCCUAUUGCAGUGCAAUAGGAAUUUCUAGGGCGAAUGAUGGCUUCCCGUGAGCGUUGUUGCCUCGCGGUUGGUUGAAAAUCGAGUCCUUGGUAGGGUGUGCCAUGGUAGAUGGUGGUCGAGUUAGAACGAUACCGAUCAUGUGCAUGCUCCCCAAAAUAUGGCCUCUAUGACCCACACGCGUCUUUUGACGCUCAUGACGAGACCUCAGGUCAGGCGGGGCUACCCGCUGAAUUUAAGCAUAUCAAUAAGCGGAGGA